CUCAUGAUGUCAUUUCGUUGUACUCAUCGUUUUUAUUAAAAGGGUAAAUAAGAGCUUCCUCCUGCUCUCUCCGCCGGCCACUCCAGCCGUCGACCGAGCUGCUUGCGGCCGAUCCCUCCUCCCGCCGCCUCCCUCACCCGCCCGGCGACCCAGGCCCCACCCUAGGACCGGCGACGGGCGACGAUGGCGACGCUCGUGAGGGCGGCCGCCGGCGACGACAUCGUCCACCAGGACGUGGACGCGCCCAAGAUCCCCGGCUGCUCAAAUGACUUCAUGCUCGAAGAGGUUGUCAAGAAGACAAAAUCAGUUGGGAAGCUCAAACAAGAAGCUGAGAAUUGCCUAUAGUAGAGUGAAAGAUUUAAUAACGAGAAGGCUGAGUUUGAGCAAGCUUCCUUCAGAAAAGGUACAGUUCCUUGUCUCGGCCUCUUUCUUGUGUGCCUGUCGCUAGCUAGCGAUGUUUUGGUUAUGCAAUUUUGUGUGAAGUUCACCCUCGCCAUGGACAGCAUGUCAUGGACCCUUUGUUCCUAGCCUCCACUCCGUCGAGGCACGGAUCCGCCGUCACUUGCUGCUUAUAGUUCAGUUAAUUUGUUGUUCUGUUGCAGUUUGUUGGUCUGCUGUGGAUGUGGACAUUAUAAAUACUCCAGUUUCCUUGCAAGUUUGCUUGCAAAGAGUAGUUUCAGUAGCUGAUUUGCUAUUCUCUUCUCUAUAGCAAGUGCAGCAGUGUCCGCUCUUCCUCUCUUCUUUUUCAGUAAAGUGUAGGAGUAUUUUCUUCUCUACUUUAACUGAAACAUUUUUCUGUUAAUUAAUAUAAACUGAAACCUUUUCCUUUAAUUAACUUGAACCUUUUCAGUUAAUUAAAAUUAACUGAAACCUUUUGUCUUAAUUAAAAUUAACUGAAAUUUUUUUUGUUAAUUAAAAUAAACUGAAACAUUUUCCUUUAAUUAACUUAAACCUUUUCAGUUAACAAAUGAAUAGGCCAAUCAUUUAGUCAUUCAGGAGUACUCCUCUAGUAGUAUUGGUCAUUCAAGAGUACUCCUCCAGUAGUAGGAGUAGCUUGAAGGAGUACAGUGUAGCUUCUCUUCUCUGUCUCUUCUCUUUCUCUUCUCUUAAUGAAAAUACUCCUGCUGCUGCUUGCUUCUGUGCUUAAAGGAGUAGCUUGCUGCUGUUGUAGCUUAAUUUUAAUUAACUGGAACUUUUCCUUUAAUUUUAUUUAACUAAAACCUUUCCUUUAACUGAAACUUUUCAGUAAAUGAAACCUUUCCAUUUCUUUCUUCUUUCUCUCUUCUCUCUUCUUUCUCUCUUCUUCUUUCUCUCUUCUUCCUCUCUUAAUCUCUCUUCUUCCUCUCUUCUCUUCUCUGAGCACUCCUUUUAGAUGCUCCUCGUUCUCUCUUUUCUCUCUCUUCUUUUCCCUUUCCUUUUCCUUUUCUUAACUGAAACUUUAAUUAAAUUUAAGUAAAAAUUUCAGUAAAUGAAAGUACUCCUCUUGCUCUUUUCUCUCUCUUAUUUUCUCUUAUUUCUCUCUUCUUCUAUCUUCUCUUCUCUAAGUACUCCUUUCAGAUAAAAGUAAAUGAAACUUUUCCUUUAACUUCUCUUCUCUGAGGCUUUUGUCGAGCCCUCAACCAUUGUUGUGUUCUGCUGACAUUAACUUAUGCUACCUUAGUCCCCUAGAUUUGAUUUGAUUUGUUGGAGUACUUCCCUGUAUUACUACUAGCCUUACUUCCCUUGAUUUGAUUUGCUGUGGUGAACUGCUGCUACCUGCUUGUUGUAUUUGAUUUGCAGGAGGCAGAGGAGCAGACCACACCCAGGAGAUGGCCGUCGUGGAGAUGACCACACCUAGGAGGACAGGGCGACAGGAUGACCAGGCCCAGGAGGAGCAGGGCGGCAAAGGUGGGGGCGGAGGAGCAAGGCGGCGGAGGUGGAGCUGGGUGGAUUCAAAUCUGGCGGAGGGGUAUCGUUCUGGGUGGAGGGGCAAACAUGUAAUUUCAUACGUUUUUCACCUGGUCGGAACAGAUCUUAAACGACAAAUAAAUCGGAACUGAGGGAGUAGGUUUUACAAGUUGUUUGCAGUUUAGUUCAGCCGAGACAGAGCUCCUCGUCGUGCAGUCCACCUCACACUACCGGCGCAAUCUCCCUCUCCUUCUCUCGAUGAUCCGCUAUGCAGUCUGCAUGGCCACGCUCCCUUGCGUUUCACUGGCGCACUGAAUGCGGUUUCAUUUUUUGUUAGGGGCUGGUUGUAUUUUUACACGGGGCUUAUUAUAUUUUUAUGAGGGGUCUCAA